AUAGCCUAUUUAGCGGUGGGAUAAUUAACCACACAGAUCGCGGUUUUACAUAAUGAUUCCAAGUGUGGACUCGACACUUCCUCACAUACUAUGGCAGUGCAUGUGACACUAACAGGAUGGUGCCACUUGAUGCUUUGCCCGUUUCCCCGUCUUUGUUGUUGUUGGGCUUUUAACGGGCUUCUGAGGUGACUCACACAACGCCAAAUCCGGUCCUUCUCACCUGCGGCUGCGGCCGCCAGAGGCGGGAGGAGCCGCGGCUCGUUGCGAGCGGAGGAGGCGGUGGUCUGUGGUAGGAAACGAGUCCCAGUGGUGCUCCUGGUCCCACUUCGGGCGGAGAGGCUCUGAUUUGCGGGUUUGGACCCCUUGCUGGACAUUUCUCGAGGUUUAUUUGGACCGUCAGAUGAAACGGCAGCAAUGAUGAUCUGAUUCAAGGCUACACAUCCCUGCUUUAAAGUGCAGUUUCCUGCUGGCUCUCAGGAACAUCAUGCGGAUCUCCACCAUGCCGCUGGCUGGCGUUCUCCUCCUCCUGGGCUCUCUGUGGCGGGGGGGCGGCACUGCCAGGCCAUGUGAGGACCCCCCAGCUGGCUCCCGCCUCAAUCUCUCGGUCCAGUAUGAGCUCCCCACCUUUGUGAGCAAGACGACAAUCCAGAGCGUUCUCACACAUGACAGGCGUAUAUAUGUGGGUGCAGUGAACAGCAUCUACUCGCUUAGUGAGGACCUGCGGGUGCUCUGGGAGUACAAAAGUGGCCCGGUGCUGGAUAACCUUGGCUGCCCGCCCUGCCAGGCGUGCUCAGAGCACGGCAACACAUCCUCCGGCCUCCUGAGAAACAACACCAACAUGGUCCUUCUGGUGGAGACCUUCUACGACGAGGAGCUCUUCAGCUGUGGUACGGCGCUGGGCGGCGUCUGCCAGCGCCACAUGCUGGAUGGUAGCCAGCAGCACGCUGGGCCUGUCUGCAUGUUCUCACCCAAGUCCAGCAGGGGGCAGUAUGGCUGCCCGGACUGCAUCGCAGGUCCAGAGGGCACCCAGGUGCUGAGCGUCGAGAGUGGGGGUGUGGUCCGCUUCUUUGUGGCAAAUUCAGCCCUGACGCUGGCGUCACCACGGGCUCCUCCUCUGCACACCAUCUCCGUGCGGGAGAUGAAGGAGACGCAGGAUGGAUUCCACUUCCUCUCGGGACGCUCCUACUUGGACGUGCUGCCGCCGCUGGUGUUGGAGUUCCCAUUGCACUAUGUGCACGCCUUCCGAAGCGGCCCACAUGCCUUCUUCCUCACUGUGCAGCGGGAAGACCGCGUCUCCCGUGCCUUCCACACACGCAUCGCCCGCACCUGCGCCGGUGAGUCGGAGCUGCGGCGUUACGCCGAGCUGCCCUUUGAGUGCAUGCUGACCCGCAAGCGGCGCCGCCGCCAGGCCCGUGUCGAGGUCUUCAACAUCCUGCAGGCCGCCCACGUGGCACAGCCUGGCCAGCUCCUGAGGGAGGAAAUGGGCCUACCAGAAGGGGAGGAGGUGCUGUUUGCCGCCUUCUCCCGCAGCCGGCCUAACUCCCCGGAGCCGACGGCCAGCUCGGCGGUCUGUGUCAUCCCCCUGCGGGACAUCAACGUCUUCUUCAGGGACUACAUGCAGAGGUGUCACACCCGGCAGCUGUAUCACUUCAGGGGCUCCGACGAGAAGCUCUGCUACAACUCGAGCUCCGCGUACGACAUGUCCAGCUGUGGGCAGCACGGUGAUGACUACCAGCUGGAACUCACUAGCACCAUCACGCGGCUUGACUACUUCAGUGGCCAGUUCAGCAAUGUCCUGCUCACCUCCAUCGCAGUGUUCCCCAUGGGGGGGCAGACCGUGGCCAGCCUGGGCACCUCCACGGGCCGGGUUAUCCAGGUCAUGAUUUCCCGCUCCCGGCAGAGGACCUCACCCCAUGUGGACUUCCGCCUUGACCCACGCCCGGUGUCCCCUGAAGUGGCCCUGAUUCCCGCUCCCCAGCUGGAUGCCUCCUUAUUGUUGGUGACGGGAAACAAGAUCACCAAGGUUCCCCUAGUGGGCCCAGGCUGUGAACAGCUGCUGUCCUGCAGCUCUUGCCUCCUGGCCCCGGACUUCAUGGGCUGUGGAUGGUGCCAGGACCGCUGUUCCCGGCCACAGGACUGCGCCACACACUGGGCCAGGAAUUCCUGCCCUCCUGCCAUUUCCACGAUUUCCCCUAAACAAGCCCCCAUGGAUGCGAGAACCAGGCUCACGAUCUGUGGGAGAGACUUCGGCUUCAACAAGAGUGAGAGGUUCGACCCAGGACUGAUCCGAGUCCGAGCCGGCAGGGUACCCUGCAAGCUGGACAUGCAGGAAAGCAACAGUAACCGGCUGGUUUGCAUGCUGGGCCAUGUGAAUGUUUCCAAGGUGGAAACGGUUACAGUCAGCAGCGGGCAGGAGGCCGCAGAGUUCCGUGGAUUAUCCUUUGUGCACACCGCGUUAGAGGGAAUCUUCCCCGACUUUGGUCCUAAAUCAGGAGGGACGGUCCUUACCCUGUGGGGGAGAUUCUUAGACAGCGGUUCUGUGAGACGUGUCUCCAUCGGUAGGGCAGUGUGCGAGAUUAAAAGCAUGGCAGCCACCAUGAUCGUCUGUGAAACUCCCGGCCAGCCCUCACCAUCCAGCCUGCCCAUCCAGUUGACAGUGGACUCCGCCGAGUAUGAGGCACCCUCUCCCUUCGUAUACAACAGGGACCCCUACAUCAGCGGCCUGCAACCCACCCGCUCAUUCAUCAGUGGAGGCAGCACAGUGAUGGCACGCGGGGCCUAUCUGCAGUCCGCCCGCCACCCACAGAUGCUCGUGACCCUGGGGCCCGACAGGGCUGUCCUCCGGGCGAGCUGCACGCUGGCCAUGGAUCACAGGGGAAUCCUCUGCAUCACGCCAUCCCUGAAGGACCUCAAAGUUGAACCGCCGGUCAUCACCAAGGUCUCUUUCAUCCUGGACGGCUACUCCACUGGGCAGGUGUCCUUGAUGUAUGUGGAGGACCCCAAAUUUGAGGAGUUUGAGAAGCCGACUCUAACCUCCAAAGGCAACAGGAACGUCUUAGAGAUUAAGGUGCCACGUGUGGACCUGGAGGCCUUACAGGGGGAGGUCCUCUGGGUGGCCAACCAGAGCUGUGAGAGCGUGCUGCUGCUGGGGAACACUCUGGAGUGCACCGUCCCCAUAGCGCUCCGCCAUGUGUCCAGGGAGCUGCAGGUGGAGUGGAAGCAGGCAGCCUCCUCAGUGAUGCUGGGCAAGGUGCGGCUGGCUGAGGAGCAGGGCUACCUACUGCUGCUCGGGGCUGCGGCCUCCGUCAGCCUGCUGCUGCUGCUGCUCUUCACCCUCUACGCCUGCGUGCGGAAGAAGAAGACCGUUGAAGAUGUGUCUGAGGGCAUGGUUUGGUAUGACGGGCGUGCUCACAUCCCACACCUGGACAUGCUGGCAAAUGCCAGGAGCAUCAGCCCCACCAACGAGAUGCUUUCCCAUGAAUCUUUGGACUAUAGGACUACCUUGCUUGAGGACCCCAGCACACCUGCGUCCCAGGCUGAGUCCUGCCGACCGCCCCCCUACACCCACUCGGACACGGCACAUGCACCGGCUGCCGGAGAGGCAGACGACAGCACCACCCUGCUGCACGCCGGUAUGAACAUCGACACAGGCAGCCUUCACCCUGAGCUGCUGGGGGCGCUGCAGCACGUGGUGAUCCCUCACCAGGACCUGCUGGUGCACCUGCAUGAGAUCAUUGGGCGAGGGCACUUCGGCUGUGUUUUCCAUGGGACCCUGCUGAAAGGCGGCCUGAAGCAGCACUGUGCCAUCAAGUCCCUGAACCGCAUUACAGACCUGGAGGAGGUGACCCAGUUCCUCAGGGAGGGCAUCAUCAUGAAGGACUUCAGCCACCCCAACGUGCUGUCGCUGCUGGGCAUCUGCCUACCCCCCCAGGGCUCGCCACUGGUGGUUCUGCCCUACAUGAAGUAUGGCGAUCUGCGCAACUUCAUCCGCAAAGAGGAACAUAACCCCACAGUGAAGGACCUCAUGGGCUUCGGGCUCCAGGUUGCCAGUGGCAUGCAGUACCUCGCCAGCAAGAAGUUUGUCCACCGAGACCUGGCAGCCAGGAACUGCAUGCUGGAUGAGAGCUACACAGUGAAGGUGGCCGACUUUGGCCUCGCUCGGGAUGUCUACGAGAAGGAGUACUACAGCGUGCACAACAAAAGUGGCGUCAAGCUGCCAGUCAAAUGGAUGGCACUGGAGAGCCUGCAAACACACAAGUUCACCUCCAAGUCAGAUGUGUGGUCGUUCGGCGUGUUGCUAUGGGAGUUGAUGACUCGAGGAGCUCCACCCUACUCUGAUAUCAGCUCAUUCGACAUCACCGUGUUCCUGCUACAGGGGCGGCGGCUGCUGCAGCCCGAGUUCUGCCCUGACAUGCUGGCAACCUGGACAGGCUGUGCUGCACCUGAGAGACACAAGUGGGCCUCUCUCAGCCUGAGUGCGGCAUGGUGCGGCCUGCCUAUCUGCACCUGAGUGACGCGAGUGGGCCUCUUUCAGCCUGAGUGCGGCAUGGUGCGGCCUGCCUAUCUGCACCUGAGUGACGCGAGUGGGGCGCCCCUCAGCCUGAGUGCGGCAUGGUGCGGCCUGCCUAUCUGCACCUGAGCGACGCGAGUGGGGCGCCCCUCAGCCUGAGUGCGGCAUGGUGUGGCCUGCCUAUCACCACCGAGCCAGUAGCUGCUUCGGGGUGAGCUGCUCCCCCAUCCCAGACUUUUGGAACUUUUGGGGGACCAUUGUAGGGGGUAUGGGGAUGGGAGGGGCUGAAAUGUAACCUCUUUGUGUGGUCUGCAGUCACUGUGUACUGUCUGCUGAGUAUUGCUAGCUGUGUGACUCUUGUUAUGCAUGCAUUUCCAGUCCACUGUACUGACACAAGUCUCACAGUGCUUCUGGUAUCUGUAUAGACUGUAGUAUUUAUGAAACUGGAAUCUCUGGAAAAACAGCAUAUUACUAGGUUUGCCUGCAGUACACUGGUCGUUUUGUAAUUAUUUUGAUGUUCUGUAAAUACCAUGUCAGACAGUAUUGAGGAAUUUUACUUUUAUUUGUGAAAAUGUAUGUAUUCUCUCACUUGUUUUUUAUACUGUUUGUAUAAGCUACUGAUAGAGUAGCUGUGAGACCAUCAUUUUUUGAAUAUUUCAAUGAACUGAAAGUGCUGUACUUUUAUGAGAGAAAUUAGAGGAAAAUGCCAGGGAUUUCCUGGUUUGUAUAUUGUGAAAUGGUAUCAAUGUGUAUACAGCUGGAAGGACAGCUACUGUACUGUUAACUCAAGUGCCACUCUUUUGAAAUAAGCGUCUUUUUGGAAAUCUGUUCAUUGGCUUAUUCCCUAUUCUUGUGACAUUGAUGUCGAGUGUUUGUAUUGAGAGCUGUCUCCUCCUUUGGGAUGAUCUGUGAUCGAUGGUACUUUGUCUACCUUAUACACUCUCUAUGGUUUACUGUAAUAGAGCUUCUUUGUAAUAAUUGCCCUUUUCUCCUUGUCUUUUCUGUGUAGUCUUGUGGUAUAAAGGUGUAGCCAGGUUAUAAAGGUGUAGCCAGGUUAAUAUUUCCUGACAAUUCACAGGUCUGUGUGCAUGAGUGAAGGUGUCUUGUCAAAGGGGACAGACCUUAACAUUUCACACUCAUCAUUAACAUUUCUUUCUUUGGGUUAAUGCUCUUGUGCACACUGACUUAUCUCCCUGUCCGUUUGCACACCUGUCAUUCUUGUUACUGCUUGACCUUUAACAGUCGAUGGCAAGGUCAGUUACUAUGGUGAUCUAUAGCUCCUCUUUGUGACAGUUUAACAGGGGUGUGCUGAGAGUGUGUACUGGCUUUGUGAUGCUCUGCUGCCCACCCUGAUGAUUCUCAUCAGUAACAACCUCCUUUAUGUUGUAGGCAAAAGCACGCAGCUCUGUGCCCGACCAGAAUAUUAAGGCUGAUCAGGGCUCUCUACAUGUUCAUCCAGAAUGCAAUUUCUGUUCCUAAUGAGCUUUUCAAUUCUGCUACACACUGAACAUGACAUUUGACUCUUCAGUUUGAGUCACUCCCUAUAAAUUCCAGCAGUUCACCAAAGUCAGUCUACUUUGGUGCUCUCUCACAUAGACAGUAUGUUGUAUUUGGUGAAAAGAAAAAGUGAAGCAGGCAGAAUCAUUCUGUUCAGAGCUGUUCCUGUAAUGUUAAGCUCAUUCCCAUCUGCGUAAACUGCACAUCUGGAAAACUGACAACAUACCCAGUAAUAUACAGCUUCUUAGCAUUGUCCCCUUUACUUUCAGGACUUCACAGCUUUUCUCUUCAGCAUUACCAAGCUGAACAGCUGUUUGUCUCUGUGGGGCCUGAGCGUGUGAAGCAGGGCAGCCGGGGCACGCCAAUCCCUGCCCAGGAGGGGUGGGGGAGAUGUCAAAGGAGAAAAAAGAGGAGUACUGCUACAGAGCUGAGAGAGCCAGUGAGGGGGCACUUCUACGGCUGUAAUUCCAUCUCUCCUUCACACAAUACUCUGUCACGCUGGGGCUUGGGGGCAAUCGCACUAUGCUGUGCAGCUCUGUCACGCUGGAGUGUGGGGGCAAUCGCACUAUGCCGUGCCACUCUCUCACGCUGGGGCUUGGGGGCAAUCACACUAUGCCGUGCAGCUCUCUCACGCUGGGGCUUGGGGGCAAUCGCACUAUGCUGUGCAGCUCUGUCACGCUGGAGUGUGGGGGCAAUCGCACUAUGCCGUGCCACUCUCUCACGCUGGGGCUUGGGGGCAAUCGCACUAUGCUGUGCAGCUCUGUCACGCUGGAGUGUGGGGGCAAUCGCGCUAUGCCGUGCAGCUCUGUCACACUGAGGCGUGGGGGCAAUCGCACUAUGCCGUGCAGCUCUGUCACACUGAGGCGUGGGGGUGAUCACACAAUGCCUUGCGGCAGCUCUGUCACACUGGGGUGUGGGGGCAACCACACGAUGCUGCACAGCUGUGUCACACCAAGGCGUGGGAGCGAUCACACAAAGCCUCGCAGUGGCUCUGUCCUGCCAGGGCGGGUGGGAGAUCACACAAUGUUGUACGGUGGCUCUGUUGCGCCGGGGCAUAGGGGCAAUCACAAUACGGCAUGUGGUGGCUUCGUCCUGCUGGGGCGUUGGAGCGAUCACACUACGCCAUGCGGUGGCUCUGUCACGCAGCAACAUAGAUAGAUAGAUAGAUACUUUAUUCAUCCAGAAGGAAAUUUAGGGGGGCGAUCAUACAAUGUAAUGCAGUGGCUCUGUCGCGCCGGGGCGUGGGAGAGAUCACACGGCGCUGCAUGGUGGCUCUGUCGCGCCGGGGCGUGGGAGAGAUCACACGGCGCUGCAUGGUGGCUCUGUCGCGCCGGGGCGUGGGAGAGAUCACACGGCGCUGCAUGGUGGCUCUGUCGCGCCUGGGCGUGGGAGAGAUCAUGCGACACUGCAUGGUGAAUCUGUCAUGCUGGUGCAUAGGGGCUAUCAUGGGAGCAUGGAAGAGAUCACAUGACACUGCAUAGUAUGUGCCACUCCGGGGCGUGGGGGUGAUUCAAAGCCCCUCCAAGCUCUAGCACAUGUGCAGUGUAAAUGACCCCCUGUGCUCUUUGAACAGCUGCCCAUGUAACAUCCCAUUAUUUAAGAGCGUAGAGAUAUCAUGAAGAUGUGUGAGAAAGACACUCCUUUAUCAGUGUAUUGUGAUAUAAAUUCUUUCUUGAACUGACACAAAGGAUGACUAGCUACUUUGUUAGGUUUCAUCAGCCAACAGUCAGUCCUAGUGUCUUAUACUGAGAA